GAACAACAACCUCUCUCCUCGAGGACCCUGACUCACCUCUCCAUAGUUGUUUGGUCCCGUGCCUGCCACCCCUCAUCUAUGAGGGGUCUGGCCCGGAAGCGAUCCUUAUUCUCCUAACCCAGAUUUGACACCUGGGUCUCUGGUUGCUUCCCUAAGACAGCCAGAAGCCACACUACCAAAAUGGUGGCUGCUAAAUCUUGAGACGGUCAUCGUUCCUGGAGACUGGCAGAGCUGAAUGGGUCAUUCUCUGGCCAGGGAGAGCCAUGCUCCUGCACCCUGGAAUGGAGGUCUGCCCUGGGCUCUGAAUCUUGGGGUUUGGGCUCUCCCGGAACGGUGGUCUCUCCAGACUCUGAACCUUGAGGUUUGGGCUCUCCUGGAAUGAUGGUCUCCCUGGAUUCUGAACCUUAGAGUUUGGGGUCUCCUGGAAUGGUGAUCUCUCCGGAUUCUGAACCUCGGGGUUUGGGCUCCCCUGGAAUGCCGGUCUCCCCAGGCUCUGAACCUCGGGCUCCUUGCCCAUUGCAUAGGCCCCAGCGGGUGCUGGAGAGUGCUGGAGUGCACACGGAACUCAGUUCAAACCUAAGGAACAUGGAGAAAUCCGGAUAUGCCCCGGUCCAUCCUCCUGGCUCCGAAGAGCACAGCUGCUUGUCAUUUAACUGCAUCAACACAGAUGGAUCUUGGCAUGAGAAGACAUUUGAUUUCCUAGUGACCCCGAGACUGCUGGCUUCCACUGUUGCGGGACGGUGGGAGAGGACAGACUCAAAUGAGUAUCAUUCUGAGGAGUUCCCAGAGAAGAGUCAAUUGUGGGGAGAAGUGCAUGAAAAUGACAAUUAAGAUAAGC